GCUCCAUGCGGGCCUUCCUGGAGAGCGGCGAGCUGUCGGCUGCCUGCAGGUGGAGGAGCGGGGUCUCUGGGCGGGUGGCUGGGGCCCGGCGAUGGCGCUGGGGAACUUGCUGACCAUGAGGGGCUCCGUGGGCACCUUGACGUCCUGCUCCAGGCAGCGGUCGCGGUACUUCAGCCCCACGCAGAUCACCUUCUCGGGGUCGUCGAUGGCACCAACAGCCGCACUCACGCGGUGCCCUGGGUUUUUCUUCCCUUCCUUGUUUGUGCGUGAUGCUUUUGUAGGAACUUCAUAGGUGUUCAGGAAGUGCAAACUCUUCUGAGAUAUGAGUUGUUUUCAAGAGAGCCCCAUUGCAUCCAUUCCACUUGGGCUGUUUUGUUCCCUCCUGAGGCUGAAAGGGACUUCAGAACCCUACAUAGAACUUGCUGCUGCUCCAGCAUGGAAAGCAGAGAUCGUGAAGUGUGACUGCCAUUGGGGCAGGGGGGAGAGGAGCUAAGACAUUCAUCUGCCAGCAUGAAGUAGCAGGUCUUGAAAAUGGUAGCGGCUGUGGUAGGCCAAUUGGCAGGACCGUCAGCAGUGAAAAUGAAUUACUUCUGUGGGACGGUCCUGAUUCAGCUGACAAUGCUGCAGGAAUCAUACAGCCUUCGUGCAGCACAUGAGGAGCUUGUUGUUGCAAAGCAGGUGCUUUGCAUCACUCUGACGUUCUGCCAUGGACUCUUCUUCCUAGUUUUUGAUGUAUAUGGAGGCAUUGCUAAGGAGGACAUAACAGGCAGCAUUAAAUCCGAGGCGUCAGGAGACCUGGAAGAUGCUUUGCUGGCUGUGGUAAAGUGUGUGUGAAACAAGCCUGCGUACUUUGCUGAAAGACUGUAUAAAUCCAUGAAGGGCCUGGGAGCAGAUGGCAACACUCUGAUCAGAGUGGUGGUGUUCCGCUUCAAGAUAGAUAUACUGGAUAUCGGAAGAGAGCUCCUGACUAUGUAUGGGAAGUCUCUCUACUCCUUCAUUAAGGGAGACUGCUCAGGAGACUACAGGAACGUUCUGCUGAAGCUCUGUGGCAGCGAGGAUUGAAGGAUUCCUGGGGUGUUUGUAACUGUUGGAGAAUAACGCUCUGAAGGCAUCACAGACUGCCUGCUUGUCUCUGCAGUGCUCGGGGCUGUUCUGAGCUGCAGGCUCGCUGCAGUCCCGUGGCAUAGCCUUGCAUCUGGUGACGGACUGAAGCUGGAGAAUCCUGGCAGCAGAGGACGCUCCUGUCCCACAGAAGGGCUCACAGCUCCACCGCAGCUCCACCGACCUCAGUGCUGGUGAGGAGGCUGAGAUGCCUCCAAGUGAUGAAUGCAGUCCACCCAACCUUACACCUCGUGUGGUUCACUGUGCGAGGCGACCAGGAAGAAAGGUGGGCACAGACUCCUCUCUGAUCAGCUGUGAAGAUGGUGCCUUGUGGCCUUGUUCCCAUCUGGGAUGGAUCGUUCUACAAUGCUGUGUGUCCCAUUGGGCCAAAAGUACUUACUGGUUUGGUGCUGAAAUCCAACUCCAUCCCUCACCAGCUGUAUUCCCAAGGAAUCCUCCUUCCCCAUCCUCCCCAAGCUCCCAACUUCUAUCUCCAACUGAUGUGCAGAAAUCAAACUCUAUAACCACAGAGUAGUUAUAAAGCAGGUAUGUUUAAUCAGCGCUGCACACACGCUGGAUGCAGAGGGGGUAUUCCCACCUAGCCUGCAUACCGGAGGGCAAGCAAGGCACAUACUUAAAGAACAAGCUGCUUACAUAUGCAUUAGGAUAAGGAUAGGAUAAGGGGGAAUAUGUGGAGUCAUUCAUGCAUCUACUUACAAGUUGGGUCAUCCCAUUAUGUGCUCCAAAUACAAGGUUGAAUUUUGGUCCUAAAAUAAUAGUGCUGUUAGCAGCAGCUUCCUCACCUGCCCCUAAGCAAAUGGGCUCCCUCUGACCGCUUUUAUGUUUGUGCUGAGCAGGUCAAUUUAGUGACGGGACCCCAAAGCAUGGUACGUCCAUCCCUGCCUUUGGUAGUCAUGUGCAGAUCCAGCAGUCAGAGAAGUUUGAAGUCUUAGCACAGUUACUAAUUACACUGUAAAAGGAGCUCUCUUCCCAGGCCAGAACACCUCCCUCAUCCAUUGAGAUAAAGCAAAUUAGUAACCAGCUCAUCUUGUCUCGAUGAGUUUAACUUUUGACGGUGCACUUUCCUUGGCAGACCAAGUAGUUCCCCGGCAUCUUGGAAUAACCUCCUGCAACAAUACUUACCUCACAUGCCUUAUUAGUCCUACGAGGGAAUGCCUCCAGCCACCCUAAAAAGCUAUCAGGACCAACAUACCGCAAUAUACCCCCCCGCCCCCCCCCGCCUUUUCUUGGGAGUUCUGAGAAAUCAAUUUGCCAUUGUUGCCCUGGCAGGUUCCCUUUCCCAGUAGGCCCACUUGUACCCUGUUCCUGGUACUAGGAUUGUACUUGGUAGUCUCUGUUCCCGCAGUAUGUUUUCUUAUCUUCCCUUAGAACCAAUUUCCAUACAAUACUAACGGGCACAACAAUGUGUCCAUCUGGGCGUGAACCCAUCUGUCAGCUUGCUCUCUUCCCUUCUAAACCACUAAUUAGAUUCCUAUCCUCCGUAGGAUAUUUUACAGGUUCUGACUCAGGUUCCGAGAUUUUAAGUUUACCGUCUGGAAUUAAAGCCUUCUUCAACUGCCUGUUCUGCCACCUGAUCCGCCAUCUUAUCUCCAGUUUCCCGUACAGUGCUACCUUUCUGAUGUCCUUUACAGAGUAUAAUAGCCAUGCUCUUUGGUAGGCGUACAUCAUACUGAAUGUUUUCCUUGUGUGUGAGCAAUCCUUGCUCUUUCCAGAUGGCACUAUGAGCGUGUUCCACCCCAAAAGCAUGUUUAGCAUCUGACCAUGUAUUUAAGGCUCUUGUCAAGGCAGUUAUUGCAGCCUUCUGAGCCAAGUCCCCACAGGCAAUGGUUGUUCGAUUACCUGGUCAGUAGCAGUUACUGCAUAUCCUGCCUUACGGUUGCCUUGUCUCACAACACUGCUUCUGUCGGAUGAACCCAGGAAUCCUCAGCACUGUCCAAUGGUUCCUCCUGUAGGUCUGGCCGACUGGCACAGUCAGUCUCCAAGCAGUCGCACGCUGCCGGUUUGGAGGUAGCUCUGUGUUGGUGUUAGAAGCAUGGAAUGGCCUGGGUUGAGAAGGACCUCAAAGAUCGUCCAGUUCCAACCCCCUGCUAUGUGCAGGGUCACCAACCGAUGGACCAGGCUGCCCAGAGCCUUGUCUUGAAGAAGAUUGUUUUUAGGAGAACAAAAACUUUGGACCACCUUUCAAAUACAGAGAAAAAAAUAACGCUGUAUUAUUUUUUUGUUUUAUUUUCCUGUUGUUAUGAUCAGGUAAAGAGACAGACAUAUCACAUCUCAGAAAUGGCUUUACUUCAGUGGCCUUAAAUGGUCCCUCUGUGAUCAUUAUUUUCUUAUUGAAUCGCUGUCAGACACAGCUGGUGGAUUUUGGACGUGCAGUUUGGAGUUCCUGGCUAAAAUGAACCACAUGAAUACGGAUUACGGAUAUUCUUAUCUCAGCACGCUUUUGAGAUGGAGCAUUCAAAUUACAAGACCUUCAGUCUGCUGUUUUAAUCUGACCCAGAAGGAAAACUUCACUACAGUUCGUUUCCUUGAUUCCCGUGCAAUUUUAUUUUGGAACUGAAGCUCAAUCGGAUUUAAACAACUUUUUUGAAAGUCUGUAAUGAAAGUUGCAUUUUUGCUUACACGUAGCCGCUUUGACCCACGGUGAAUGGAAGUCAUAAAGCAGGGUAUAAAGGGAGUUUCUAAAUUGCCUGUUGUUGAGGCCAUUGAAGGCAACAGGAGAGUUCAGAAUGUGACCUUUGAGAGCAAAUUUGCCUCUGCUUCUUACUGAAUUUUGUGUUGCGUUUUUCUGUAUAUAUAUUUUUUUGACUCAGAAAUACAAAUUAUAAUGAAGGUGAGGCACUUCACAAUACAUUUGGCUUCAGCAUUGCUGAAUAUACAUUUGUAUAUGUAUAUAUAUAUGUAUAUAUAUAUGUAUAUAUAUAUGUAUGUAUAUAUGUAUAUAUGCAUUGUACAGCAAAAACAUUUCAGAAUCUGCAGAACGUUGCUAAUAACUGCAGUGGAACAGGGAGGAAUAGUGAAAACAGAUUUCUGCUUUGAAUGCUUUCAAAUUUAAUAAUUAAUGCAUUUUAUUUUUACUUGUAUAGGAUUAUCAUGAACUCUAGAUAGGUAGUUACAUUUGAAAAUGCUAAGUGAGAUAGCAAAACUGAAUCAUAAACACAGGAAACAGAUUCUGCACUCAUUUGCUUGCAUUUCUGUCCUGCUGGCAUGCUCUUUGUACUUUCUACCAUUUCAGAAUCACGGGAGCUAAAAUAGUCUGAGAAAGAAGAGUCCAAAUCCUUGCCUUUGGAAGGCCCAGCUCGUUACCCAACUCCUGAGCAAAGAAAAAGAAUAAAGGCUUCAGUCACCACACAUACUCACACUGGGAGACUUCAGCCUCAGCGUGACUGUCAGCCCUGUGGACACGCUGGCUGUCACUGUGCCCACCGUCUGCCACAUCACCUGCAGCCUCUGUGGAACUUCAAUGGCCGUCUCCACACCGACCGCCUCAUCCAGAGCAGCACUGCCACGGGUCACCGCCUCAGUCCCGGUCCCAGGUGUCCCCUGUGCCGGCAAUCCCCCAGCAGUGAGUGAGUGGGCAGUGGACACAACCUGGGCUUCUCGCCGGGCCCUGCACGGGUGGUGGCAGUGUUCCAGGGGCACCGCCUCCGGCCCCACCCAUCCCUCUCCAAAAACGAGCUGAUGCUGUUCUCCUGGUUUGAGCGGCUGUGUACGGACUGUGCGACUGCCCGAGGGGAACCUUCCAACCUACUGCCUGAACUGAACUGAACUGAACUUCGGUGUCACGAGCGCGGCUGCAGAUAUGCAGUAACCGGACUGAAACUGCAACUAUCGAAAGACCCACAUGCAGAACAAACCGUACAGUGCACAGAAUUCAGUGCACUUCAUCACUGCAGUGAUGAAGGAACUCGGCAACGGGGCCGCUGUUGUGUUUUGGUAACAGUGAGGAGGCACCAGCAACGAGCUGUGGAUUGGCUGCCCCCCCUGCGCUGCACUGUGCAUUCACGCGCUGGCCACGCGUAGAGUGCGUGAUCCGGCUCAGGGCAUACAGACAUGUCAGGAGGGCAGCAGGGUGAGGUAACUCAGGCAGAGGACACCGCUGCCUCCAUGGGGAUGCCCGCAAGGCCCUGAGCCAACCAGUCCCUCCCCUUACAGCCAAUCCGAGCUGUGCUGGCUGAUGGUCCUUUUGGGACCUCUUGGCGGAUCGGUAGCUGUGCACUGCAGUGCUUAAACGCUCGCUUUGGCCGAC